AGAGUUUGUUCCUGGCUCAGGAUGAACGCUAGCUACAGGCUUAACACAUGCAAGUCGAGGGGCAGCAUGGUCUUAGCUUGCUAAGGCCGAUGGCGACCGGCGCACGGGUGAGUAACGCGUAUCCAACCUGCCUUACACUCUUGGACAGCCUUCUGAAAGGGAGAUUAAUACAAGAUGUUAUCAUGAGUAAGCAUUUUCGCAUGAUUAAAGGUUUACCGGUGUAAGAUGGGGAUGCGUUCCAUUAGAUAGUAGGCGGGGUAACGGCCCACUAGUCUUCGAUGGAUAGGGGUUCUGAGAGGAAGGUCCCCCANAUUGGAACUGAGACACGGUCCAAACUCCUACGGGAGGCA
rnacentral:rRNA from 1 species